rnacentral:tRNA from 1 species
GGCCCCUUCGUCUAGUGGCCCAGGACGUCGGAUUCUCAGUCCGAAAACAGGGGUUCGAGUCCCCUAGGGGCUA